rnacentral:rRNA from 1 species
GGGCCCGCACAAGCAGCGGAGCAUGUGGUUUAAUUCGAAGCAACGCGAAGAACCUUACCAGGUCUUGACAUCCAGGUAAAGCUUGAGAGAUUAAGUGUGCCUUCGGGCGAUCUGAGACAGGUGGUGCAUGGUUGUCGUCAGCUCGUGUCGUGAGAUGUUGGGUUAAGUCCCGCAACGAGCGCAACCCUUGCUGAUAGUUACUAACGAGUGAAGUUGAGGACUCUAUCGGGACCGCCGGGGACAACUCGGAGGAAGGUGGGGACGACGUCAAAUCAUCAUGCCCCUUAUGACCUGGGCUACACACGUGCUACAAUGGCCGAGACAGAGGGAAGCGAAGGAGAGAUUCGGAGCGGAUCCCAAAAAAGCGGUCACAGUUCGGAUUGUGGGCUGCAACCCGCCCACAUGAAGUCGGAGUUGCUAGUAAUCGCGAAUCAGCAUGUCGCGGUGAAUACGUUCCCGGGCCUU